CCAUGCGAGUCAUUGUAGCAAUACAAGGCAGACGGCUCAGUAACGCGUAGUCAAUCUACCCUGUUGACGGGGAUAACCUCGGGAAACUGAGAAUAAUACCCGAUAGAACAUUAUGCCUGGAAUGGUUUAUGUUUCAAAUGAUUUAUCGCAAUAGGAUGGGACUGCGGCCUAUCAGUUUGUUGGUGAGGUAAUGGCCCACCAAGACUAUUACAGGUACGGGCUCUGAGAGGAGUGGCCCGGAGAUGGGUACUGAGACACGGACCCAGGCCCUAUGGGGCGCAGCAGGCGAGAAAACUUUGCAAUGUGCGAAAGCACGACAAGGUUAAUCCGAGUGGUUUCUGCUAAAGAAACCUUUUGUCAGUCCUAGAAACACUGAUGAAUAAGGGGUGGGCAAGUUCUGGUGUCAGCCGCCGCGGUAAAACCAGCACCUCAAGUGGUCAGGAUGAUUAUUGGGCCUAAAGCAUCCGUAGCUUGUUUUGUAAGUUUUCGGUUAAAUCCAUACGCUUAACGUAUGGGCUGCCGGGAAUACUGCAUAACUAGGAAGUGGGAGAGGUAGACGGUACUCGGUAGGAAGGGGUAAAAUCCUUUGAUCUAUUGAUGACCACCUGUGGCGAAGGCGGUCUACCAGAACACGUUCGACGGUGAGGGAUGAAAGCUGGGGGAGCAAACCGGAUUAGAUACCCGGGUAGUCCCAGCUGUAAACUAUGCAAACUCAGUGAUGCAUUGGCUUGUGGCCAAUGCAGUGCUGCAGGGAAGCCGUUAAGUUUGCCGCCUGGGAAGUACGUACGCAAGUAUGAAACUUAAAGGAAUUGGCGGGGGAGCACCACAAGGGGUGAAGCCUGCGGUUCAAUUGGAGUCAA
rnacentral:rRNA from 1 species